CGAGGGGUAGUAUAAGCUAGUACAUUGGGUUUGGGACUCAAAAGUCCUUUGUUAAGGUUCCUCGU
rnacentral:tRNA from 1 species